ACGGCCAUACCAUGCCGAAAACACCGGUUCUCGUCCGAUCACCGAAGUUAAGCAUCAUCGGGCACGGUCAUACCGGGGUGACCACCUGGAA